CCUACGGGAGGCAGCAGUGGGGAAUAUUGCACAAUGGGGGAAACUCUGAUGCAGCGACGCCGCGUGAGCGAAGAAGGAUUUCGGUAUGGAAAGCUCUAUCAGCAGGGAAGAAAAUGACGGUACCUGAGUAAGAAGCUCCGGCUAAAUACGUGCCAGCAGCCGCGGUAAUACGUAUGGAGCAAGCGUUAUCCGGAUUUACUGGGCGUAAGGGGAGCGUAGGCGGCCUGCCAAGUCUGAUGUGAAAUAGCGGGGCUCAACCCCGGGGCUGCAUUGGAAACUGGCAGGCUGGAGUGCCGGAGAGGCAGGCGGAAUUCCUAGUGUAGCGGUGAAAUGCGUAGAUAUUAGGAAGAACACCAGUGGCGAAGGCAGUCUGCUGGACGGUGACUGACGCUGAGGCUCGAAAGCGUGGGGAGCAAACAGGAUUAGAUACCCGUGUAGUC
rnacentral:rRNA from 1 species